rnacentral:rRNA from 1 species
UCGGGAAUUUUGGGCAAUGGGCGAAAGCCUGACGGUGCGACGCCGCGUGGAGGAUGAAGGCCCUAGGGUCGUAAACUCCUGUCAUCAGGGAGUAAUGGCUCAUAUAGUAACUGAUAUGGGUCUUGAUAGUACCUGAAGAGGAAGGGACGGCAAACUUCGUGCCAGCAGCCGCGGUAAUACGAAGGUCCCAAGCGUUGUUCGGAUUUACUGGGCGUAAAGAGUCUGUAGGCGGUGGGGUAAGUCAGAUGUGAAAUCCCGGGGCUCAACCCCGGAACUGCAUCCGAUACUGCCUUACUUGAGGGUCGGAGGGGAGUCUGGAAUUCUCGGUGUAGCAGUGAAAUGCGUAGAUAUCGAGAGGAACACUAGUGGCGAAGGCGAGACUCUGGACGACAACUGACGCUGAGAGACGAAGGCCAGGGGAGCGAAAAGGAUUAGAUACCCCGGUAGUCCCUGAGCGGGCUGGCAAGGCGCAU